GUUGGCGAAGACGACCUUGAGUAAGAGCUGAACAAGGCAAGGGCGGUGGAGACGUUCGUCGAAGCACAGUUAUGCAAAUGGCGGCUGGAUCCUCGGAUCUAUGAACGCUAACUCAACGGGGCUUAUGUUCC
rnacentral:RNase_MRP_RNA from 1 species